ACGAACGCUGGCGGCAGGCCUAACACAUGCAAGUCGAGCGGACCUUUCGGGGUCAGCGGCGGACGGGUGAGUAACGCGUGGGAAUAUGCCCUUCUCUACGGAAUAGUCCUGGGAAACUGGGGGUAAUACCGUAUACGCCCUUUGGGGGAAAGAUUUAUCGGGGAAGGAUUAGCCCGCGUUGGAUUAGGUAGUUGGUGGGGUAAUGGCCUACCAAGCCGACGAUCCAUAGCUGGUUUGAGAGGAUGAUCAGCCACACUGGGACUGAGACACGGCCCAGACUCCUACGGGAGGCAGCAGUGGGGAAUCUUAGACAAUGGGGGCAACCCUGAUCUAGCCAUGCCGCGUGAGUGAUGAAGGCCUUAGGGUUGUAAAGCUCUUUCAGCUGGGAAGAUAAGGACGGUACCAGCAGAAGAAGCCCCGGCUAACUCCGU
rnacentral:rRNA from 1 species